rnacentral:misc_RNA from 1 species
CAGAAAGAAAUGUAGGC